rnacentral:rRNA from 1 species
AUUGAACGCUGGCGGCAUGCCUAAUACAUGCAAGUCGAACGAGUGGCGGACGGGUGAGUAAUGUCUUGGAAACUGCCUGACGGAGGCGGAUAACUACUGGAAACGGUAGCUACUACCGCAUACCCCUAGUUGUGUCCAGGUGGGAUGAGCUCUUUGGUGGGGUAACGUCGCUCCAAGGCGACGAGCCCUAGCUGGUCUGAGUGGAUGACCAGCAACACUGGAACUGAGACACGGUCCAGACGCCUACGGGAGGCAGCAGUGGGGAAUAUUGCGCAAUGGGCGCAAGCCUGAUGCAGCCAUGCCGCGUGUAUGAAGAAGGCCUUCGGGUUGUAAAGUACUUUCAGCGGGGAGGCGUUACCCGCAGAAGAAGCACCGGCUAACUCCGUGCCAGCAGCCGCGGUAAUUC